rnacentral:RNase_MRP_RNA from 2 species
UCCUCGCUCAAAGAAUCGCAACGAAGCACACAAAUAGAGCGCCCUUGGGCGUCUCUUCCUUUCGCUUUGGGAGAAAGUCCCCGGACAUCGGUUCUUCAUGGACUGCACUUUCAGCAACGAAUCGCCAUAGAAGCGCGACUUCCUACCGAUCACGACACUUCUUCGCUCUCUUUUCCGUUAGUCUCUUCCGAAGCUGCUCUCUCGAUGGCGCAGGUGGAGGGGUUGGCACCGGGGCGAUGAUAUGAGCCCGCUGGCUACCUUGCCUGUUGUCUGACAGAUCGUCUUGCAAGCGGAGGAGGAGGAUGGAGAUGUCGAAGUUGCGCCAGGUACGGAGGGUCUUCUCGUCCAGUUUAUGGUUAUGCGAUUGCCAUCUGAACGACUCGGUCAUACGGGUCGUGUUGGUGGUAACUCAAUGGGGCUUAUUCUUGAGGCGAGG